UCUUACCAUGCAGUCGAACGAUGAAGCCCAGCUUGCUGGGUGGAUUAGUGGCGAACGGGUGAGUAACACGUGAGUAACCUGCCCCCGACUUUGGGAUAAGCCCGGGAAACUGGGUCUAAUACCGGAUAUGACUUCCUGCCGCAUGGUGGGUUGUUGAAAGAUUUAUCGGUGGGGGAUGGACUCGCGGCCUAUCAGCUUGUUGGUGAGGUAAUGGCUCACCAAGGCGACGACGGGUAGCCGGCCUGAGAGGGUGACCGGCCACACUGGGACUGAGACACGGCCCAGACUCCUACGGGAGGCAGCAGUGGGGAAUAUUGCACAAUGGGCGGAAGCCUGAUGCAGCGACGCCGCGUGAGGGAUGACGGCCUUCGGGUUGUAAACCUCUUUCAGUAGGGAAGAAGCGAAAGUGACGGUACCUGCAGAAGAAGCGCCGGCUAACUACGUGCCAGCAGCCGCGGUAAUACGUAGGGCGCAAGCGUUAUCCGGAUUUAUUGGGCGUAAAGAGCUCGUAGGCGGUUUGUCGCGUCUGCCGUGAAAGUCCGAGGCUCAACCUCGGAUCUGCGGUGGGUACGGGCAGACUAGAGUGAUGUAGGGGAGACUGGAAUUCCUGGUGUAGCGGUGAAAUGCGCAGAUAUCAGGAGGAACACCGAUGGCGAAAGCAGGUCUCUGGGCAUUUACUGACGCUGAGGAGCGAAAGCAUGGGGAGCGAACAGGAUUAGAUACCCUGGU
rnacentral:rRNA from 1 species